rnacentral:rRNA from 1 species
GACGAACGCUGGCGGCGUGCCUAACACAUGCAAGUCGUGCGAGGACAGUGCCUUCGGGUGCUGAGCCGAGCGGCGGACGGGUGAGUAACACGUGAGCAACCCAACCCGGUGCGGGGGAUA